GAUAUAUUAGAGAUCAAUGGGUGUGGGUGACUAGUGUAUUUUAUUGAAGAUACGAUAUAUUAGAGAGCAAAAGGACACAGAUCGAGCGAGGGAUAUUCUGAAGAAGGCCCCUGGUGUAGUGGUUAUUGAUGAUCGGGCAUCCAAUCGCUUCCCUACUCCAUGCAUUGGAGGUGUCAAACAAAGAUGAUGUUGCAGUUGGCAGGAUCCGCCGCGAUUUGUCCCAGGAAGGCAACCAUGGGUUGGACAUCUUUGUCUGUGGUGAUCAAAUACGCAAGGGAGCUGCACUUAAUGCUGUCCAGAUUGCAGAGAUGUUGCUUUAGUCCAUAUUUGUAUUUGGUGAUUAGGUUUCAUAUUAUGGAUUCAUCAGUAGGGUGAGAGAAGAUGCUUUAAGUUAUUCGUCAUACAUAGUCUUCAGAUGCGGAUAUUGAUCCUUUUGGCGGGUUUAAAAAAUUGAGCAGUUUUUGUAGUAGGAUGCUUAAUGUUGUCAGUUUAAAGUGCAAUUAUUUCUGUUAAAUCCUUCACAGGAAGAUUUUGUAAUAAUAACUUGUAGUUCAGGACUGAUUCUACCUGGAAGCUCUUAUUGUUGGUUUGUAGGUAACAAGUGUCAAUCUCCAGCAAUCUACAGAUUUUUGCUAAAUGUUGUUCAUUUAUG